rnacentral:rRNA from 1 species
CCUACGGGUGGCUGCAGUGGGGAAUAUUGGACAAUGGGCGAAAGCCUGAUCCAGCCAUGCCGCGUGUGUGAAGAAGGCCUUCGGGUUGUAAAGUACUUUCAGUGGGGAAGAAAGCCUUGGGGCUAAUACCCUCGAGGAAGGACAUCACCCACAGAAGAAGCACCGGCUAACUCCGUGCCAGCAGCCGCGGUAAUACGGAGGGUGCGAGCGUUAAUCGGAAUUACUGGGCGUAAAGCGCGCGUAGGCGGUCUAAUAAGCCGGUUGUGAAAGCCCCGGGCUCAACCUGGGAACGGCAUCCGGAACUGUCAGGCUAGAGUGCAGGAGAGGAAGGUAGAAUUCCCGGUGUAGCGGUGAAAUGCGUAGAGAUCGGGAGGAAUACCAGUGGCGAAGGCGGCCUUCUGGACUGACACUGACGCUGAGGUGCGAAAGCGUGGGUAGCAAACAGGAUUAGAUACCCCUGUAGUC